UUCGCUCGGUCGGUUUGGGCCAUAGUUCAAGUAGCUUCAAAUUUAUAACCCCCACGUAGUGCACGUAACAUGUUCGGCAACUGGUUGAGGGGUAUUGAUAAACAAUUUUCUGCACAUAUUCUUGUGGGGGCGGCUGCCUUAUGCUGGGCAUUGUGGCUUACCAGGAAUGAUGUGGUUUUUAAUAAAAAAUGUGUUUCAUCUCCUAUGCAGGUUAUUCAUGUAUGUACGCGAUGGCUCCGUACUUGGUCUAUCCUGCAGAGGCCGGAGGACAGGGACCUAUUUAUGAUGGCGUCUACGCGGCUGGAGCGUACGGCCAGGGAGGUUUUCUACCCCCAUGGAUGGUGGUGUAAUUCCGGAUAG
rnacentral:rRNA from 1 species